rnacentral:rRNA from 1 species
UACGUAGGGUGCGAGCGUUAAUCGGAAUUACUGGGCGUAAAGCGUGCGUAGGCGGUUCGUUAAGUUCGUUGUGAAAGCCCCGGGCUCAACCUGGGAAUGGCCGUUGAAACUGGCGAACUGGAGUGUGGCAGAGGGGGGUGGAAUUCCGCGUGUAGCAGUGAAAUGCGUAGAGAUGUGGAGGAACACCGAUGGCGAAGGCAGCCCCCUGGGUCAAGAUUGACGCUCAUGCACGAAAGCGUGGGGAGCAAACAGG